rnacentral:rRNA from 1 species
GACGAACGCUGGCGGCGUGCUUAACACAUGCAAGUCGAACGGAAAGGCCAUGCUUUUGUGGGGUGGUCGAGUGGGGCAGGGGGGAGUAAAACGUGAGUAAAAUGCACUUGAAUUUGGGAGAAAUUUAGGAAACUGGGGCUAAAACAGGAUAGGAGAUACUGCUGCAUGGUGGGGGUUGGAAAGUGUCGGCGGUUGGGGAUGGACUAGCGGCUUAUCAGCUUGAUGGUGGGGUAGUGGCUUACCAAGGCUUUGACGGGUAGCCGGCCUGGGAGGGUGACCGGCCUCCUUGGUCCUGAGAUACGGCCCAGUCUCCUACCGUCGGCAGCAGUGGGGAAUAUUGCACAAUGGGCGGAAGCCUGAUGCAGCAACGCCGCGUGCGUGAUGACGUCCUUCGGGUUGUAAACCGAUUUCUCCUGUGAUGAAGCCUUAUUGACGGUAAUUAGUAAAGAAGCACCGGCUAACUACGUG